rnacentral:lncRNA from 1 species
CCAGAGUUUGCAGCCGAGUAGGGACUCCUCCCCUGUCCUCUACGAAGGAAAAGAUUGCUAUUGUUGUACUCACCUCCGACGUACUCCGGGGUCUUUUGGGAGUUUUCUCCCCUAACCAUUUCAACUUUUUUUUGGAUUCUCGCUCUUGCAUGCCUCCCCCGUCCUUUUUCCCUUGCCAGUUCCCUGGUGACAGUUACCAGCUUUCCUGAAUGGAUUCCCGGCCCCAUCCCUCACCCCCACCCUCACUUUCAAUCCGUUUGAUACCAUUUGGCUCCUUUUUUGGCACAACAGUCACUGUCCUUGUAAAGUUUUUUAGAUCAAUAAAGUCAGUGGCUUUCAAAAAAAAAAAAAA